rnacentral:rRNA from 1 species
AUACGGAGGAUCCGAGCGUUAUCCGGAUUUAUUGGGUUUAAAGGGUGCGCAGGCGGCCAUUUAAGUCAGCGGUUAAAUCGUGGGGCUCAACCCCAUUCUGCAGUUGAUACUGGUUUCCUUGAGUACGGGAUAGGUGGGCGGAAUUCGUGGUGUAGCGGGUGAAUGCUUAGAUAUCACGAAGAACUCCGAUCGCGAAGGCAGCUCACCGGGCCGGAACUGACACUGAUGCUCGAAAGUGCGGGUAUCAAACAGGAUUAGAUACCCUGGUAGUCCGCACAGUAAACGAUGAAUACUCGCUGUUUGCGAUACACUGUAAGCGGCCAAGCGAAAGCGUUAAGUAUUCCACCUGGGGAGUACGCCGGCAACGGUGAAACUCAAAUGAAUGGGCGGGG